AAUGAACGUUGGCGGCGUGGAUUAGGCAUGCAAGUCGUACGCAUAGCUUCGGCUAUGAGUGGCGCAAGGGUGAGUAAUGCGAAGGUAACCAACCCUGGUGUUGGGCAUAGCCGCGGGAAACUGCGGGUAAUUCCCAGCGACGUCACGAGAUGGCAUCAUCUUGUGACCAAAGGUGUGAUUCCGCUCUAGGACGGGCCUUCGUGGUAUUAGGUAGUUGGUGAGGUAACGGCCCACCAAGCCGACGAUGCCUACCGGGUGUGAGAGCAUGACCCGGCACACUGGAACUGAGACACUGUCCAGACACUUACGGGUGGCUGCAGUCGAGAAUCUUCGGCAAAUGGGCGAAAGCCUGACCGAGCGACGCCGCGUGAGGGAUUGAAGGCCUUCGGGUUGUAAACCUCUUUCGUAGAGGAGGAAGGGGCCGUAGAAGAACGGUC
rnacentral:rRNA from 1 species